AUUGAACGCUGGCGGCAGGCCUAACACAUGCAAGUCGAGCGAGCGGCGGACGGGUGAGUAAUGUAUGGGGACUGCCCGAUAGAGGGGGAUAACUACUGGAAACGGUGGCUAAUACCGCAUACUAUCGGAUAACCCAUAUGGGAUUAGCUAGUAGGUGGGGUAAAGGCUCACCUAGGCGACGAUCUCUAGCUGGUCUGAGAGGAUGAUAGGCAACACGGGGGAUGAGACACGGCCCAGACGCCUACGGAGGCAGCAGUGGGGAAUAGUGCACAAUGGGCGCAAGCCUGAUGCAGCAAUGCAGCGGGUAUGAAGAAGGCUUUAGGGUUGUAAAGUGCUUUCAGCAGGGAGGCGUUACCCGCAGAGGAAGCACCGGCUAACUCCGUGCCAGCAGCCGCGGUAAUUC
rnacentral:rRNA from 1 species